AUUGCUUCUCGGCCUUUUGGCUAAGAUCAAGUGUAGUUCUGGGACUUGAACUCAGGGCUGAGCGCUUUUGAAGCUUUCUACUCAAGGCUAGUGCUCUAUCACUUGAGCCACAGCUUCACUUCUAGCCCUGUUAGGAAAUUUUCUUUUCUUUUCCUUUUUAGUCAGUCGUGGAGUUUGAACUCUGGGCCUGGGCACUGUCCCUCAGCUCUUCAGCUCUAGGCUAGUGCUCUACCACUUGAGCCACAGCACCACU
rnacentral:snRNA from 1 species